AUUGAACGCUGGCGGCAUGCUUUACACAUGCAAGUCGAACGGACUUAGGUGCUUGCACCUAGGUUAGUGGCGAACGGGUGAGUAAAGUAUCGGAACGUACCUUUCAGUGGGGAUAACGUAGCGAAAGUUACGCUAAUACCGCAUAUUCUGUGAGCAGGAAAGCAGGGGAGUCGCAAGACCUUGCGCUGAUGGAGCGGCCGAUAUCAGAUUAGCUAGUUGGUGAGGUAAAGGCUCACCAAGGCGACGAUCUGUAGUUGGUCUGAGAGGACGACCAGCCACACUGGGACUGAGACACGGCCCAGACUCCUACGGGAGGCAGCAGUGGGGAAUUUUGGACAAUGGGCGCAAGCCUGAUCCAGCAAUGCCGCGUGCAGGAAGAAGG
rnacentral:rRNA from 1 species